rnacentral:misc_RNA from 1 species
AACCUUAUGGACCUGCGGGCGUAUACCUGCGGAAGGAUCAUUACCGAGUGAGGGCCUCCGGGUCCGACCUCCAACCCCAUGUCAUCUUUGACCCUGUUGCCUCGGGGGCGACCCGGCCUUCGGGCGUCGGGGCCCCCGGUGGACCUGUAACACUGCAUCUCUGCGUCGGAGUGAUUACACAAUCAAUCAAAACUUUCAACAACGGAUCU